rnacentral:rRNA from 1 species
GAUGAACGCUGGCGGCGUGCCUAACACAUGCAAGUCGAGCGAACGGACGAGAAGCUUGCUUCUCUGAUGUUAGCGGCGGACGGGUGAGUAACAUGUGGAUAACUUACCUAUAAGACUGGGAUCACUUCGGGAAACCGGAGCUAAUACCGGAUAAUAUUUUGAACCGCAUGGUUCAAAAGUGAACGACGGUCUUGCUGUCACUUAUAGAUGGAUCCGCGCUGCAUUAGCUAGUUGGUAAGGUAACGGCUUACCAAGGCAACGAUGCAUAGCCGACCUGAGAGGGUGAUCGGCCACACUGGAACUGAGACACGGUCCAGACUCCUACGGGAGGCAGCAGUAGGGAAUCUUCCGCAAUGGGCGAAAGCCUGACAGAGCAACGCCGCGUGAGUGAUGAAGGUCUUCGGAUCGUAAAGCUCUGUUAUUAGGGAAGAACAUAUUUGUAAGUAUCUGUGCACAUCUUGACGGUACCUAAUCAAAAAGCCACGGCUAACUACGUG